AGAGCUGUGGUAAUUGGUAACCAGCCUGAUUUGGAAUUAGGAGAAUGCAAGUUCGAGUCUUGCGCUCUAG
rnacentral:tRNA from 1 species